CCGUGUGAUGGACGCGUCGCGCAUUCCGAUCGCUCCUCGCUAACGCUCGCGAUUGUUGCUGCCUAAAGUGAAUAUCGCGCGCGAAAAGCUAUCGCGAGUGGAUCACGUAAUACCGAUGUUUGUCGUAAUACGUAGCGCAAUAAAGUUGCGAUCGAUCGCGAUUAUACGGGACGUUAUCUACGUCGCAAUUUGGCCAUCGGUGUCUCGAUCGUAUCCGUGAAUCCGUGAAUUUUGCAGGCCCGAGAUCUCGAUUGCAUAUGUGUGUGUGUGUGUGUGCUUUGAAAAUUCCACUCUGGGUCUUCUGUCCUUAAAAAAUGCAUCCUUUGUGCGACCAUCAACAAUCCAGAAUCUUGAACUAUUGUGAUGAAAUUAUGACGUGUGGAGCACGUGGAACCGUGCUAACUUUGAUUGCGGGGAGAGGAGAAAUAUGACAGGGAAUUCGUUUUUGCUGCUCGUGUGAAGUAGCCUCGUUGCAACCCCUCACCGUAAGAACCACCCCGUGGCGAGGUGACGUCUGGCGGCGAAAUAAGGAACGAACGAGUGGAGAAAAGGAAUUUUGUAUGACGUUAAGUCCGUAUGAAACCCACGUCGUUGCGCCGGGUAUAGCGUCCGGAUUUUGCACAACAAUGCAACUGGGAUUUGCGCUGCGAACGAGUUUUUACUGUCAUCAGUCAUCAGGCAAACGGUCGACGGGGGUGAGCACAGAGCAGAGCAGCCAGAGCCGUACUUUUAAGCACAAGAGUGGGGGUUCUGGAUCAAUGCCGAGGCCACGCCUCCUUCGUCUUACAUCUUGCACCCCGUGCUACCCCCAAGCACCUUCCUUUCCUUUUGCUUUUCCACUCUCUUCCCUAUCUUCAUAUCCCGCGGAAAAUCCGCCCAGGGCAUGCAGAUAUAUCAAAGGAUUAAAAACUAUAUGAUGUAUAAACACUUUGUAUUGAUAUUGCAAUUGAUAGCGUAAUAAUCAGGAAGAUAUUAAACAUCUGCAUCCUGUUGAAGUUUUAAAAAUAUAUCUUGAAAACAUAUUUGUAAAAAAUAAUAUUAAAAUUGAUAUGCUGUGCAUUGAACGAACAAAUAUAUUUGUAAAAAAUAUAUAUUUAAAUAUAAUUUAUGCAUACAUAUUUAUCACACACACACACACACACACACACACACACACACACAAAAUUAAAAAGAAUUAUGUUAUUCAGCUGCAGAGU